GUCGGAAUACACACGCCGAGCAAAGUCCACAUAUUUUUGGACCUCAAUGUAGACGCCAAUUAUUUAUUGUGUACUUUGAUCACAAGCAGGGAAGAUUAUAACCCGAGUCCCUGCAUAUAACACUGCUUUGCUGUGCUUUCGAACAAAGGGCGGGGUGAAACUGUGCUCUGUAAACCCAUUUCGUAUCUCUUUCCUUUUUCAAUCUGUUGCAUGGGAUUGUAAUACCAGCGGCGCCACCACUGCAAAGAUACACUGUACGCAGUAUCCAUAUAGCACGCAACGGUGUUGGUAAGCGCAGAUUGGAAUUAGACCAGGAAAAGGGAAGACCAAAAUCCGUGCUGAAACAUUCGAGUCGGAUCAACCACAAUAAGGAAAUAUCAAAGAUUGCAUGAGCUCCUCGUCAGUCACGCAGCGCAACCGGCAUUCGAGGAAUAUACAAUAUAGCAAAAGCCGACCAGCCUUCUGGGAAUUAUAUCCUGACCAACGUACAUGUAUAUGUUAUAACUUGGAGUAAAACAGUUUAUAUUGGAUAUAUAUUUUUCAACCAUCUAGUUCUUUGGUAUAAUUCGAGAUGGCAUCUUCCUCAACACAAAUGGCUCUGCACAAGAACAUUGAUCAACUUCAGAGGGAACUCAAUAUAGAGAGGGUCAAAGUAUCGCAGUGCACAGCUGACCUCGUUCAAUACUGCGAACAGGAAGUAGGAAAUGAUUUUCUUUUGACACGGGAACUCCAUCCGGGUCAAGUCAACAACUACAAAGACAAAAAAGGAGGAUGUACUUUACUCUAGUUCUUUCAUUCAUUCUAACUUCUGCACAAGAUUCACAUAGAUCUGAUAUCAUACAGAUCAAGCAGACUGAAUGUAUAUCUACAGAGUCAUAUUGUACAUACGAAUGGAUACGUAAUUCACACAAAAUCUCAUUUUUGUAAUGAUAUUUAAUGUUCUGUGAAUAUUUUUGAACGAUCAAUUUUGUGUCUUUCCUAAAUGACUUCUCAGAUGUUAUCUUCCCAUGUUGGCAUGAAGUUUUGAUGUAAACUUUUUUAAAAAGGAGAGAAUAUUGUAAUUUUUACAAUGAAAUUAUGAGAGAAAUCAUGUAGCAUGAUUUGCACUCAUAUCGCCAAAUCAUUUUUACAAAAAGCAUUUUAGGAUUUCUUUUCAUUUUACCGCGUAUUCUUGGAUUUCGUGUGUGAUAAACUCAUUUUUACUUCAAUAUUUUGAUUGACUGUAUGCGUCUUUUGCUCAUUUUUUUUAUUACAUGUAUGUUUUGACCUCGUGAUAAUAAUUUUUUUGCUUUUAGUCUAAAACUUGUAAGCCCGAGUAACGUUAUUUAUGUAGUUUUUUCUUGAACGUCUGUUCCUUUUCAAGAAAUACCGGAAUAUCUGACGCAAGGCAAAAUGUGCUUUUCUCGAGACGUGGUUAUUUGAUGAUCAUGAAGUAUACAAAUAUUUUGCCUUAAAAUGGAUAGCAAUAUCACUUAACUUUAAGAAAACCAACAGAUUUUGUAAUGAAGUCGUUGGAAUUGGACUCAUCUUUAAGUGUGUUUUAUGACAUUUUAUCAGAGUUUUUUUCAGUUUUAUUCUCUUGUCCCUAAGUUUUGCUAUUUCAUUUAAAAAAAUCACUCCUUUACCCUUUCAUAAUGGACUCUACACCGGACUCUACACUAGUAAAAUUUCACCGAUAUCAGAAAACACAAGGCAGGGAAAUGUUAAAAGAAACACCAGUUUCAAAAUCAAACCGAUAUUGGUUUAACACUGAUUAGAGUUGUUUAAAUGCCUAUCUGGUGUUACCCUAAUGCCGAAGUGGUGCUGUUUCGACACCUCUGUCUGGUGUUUUCCGAUAAAGACACCGAGCUGGUGUUAAAUUAACACCGGUGCAUUUGCAGUGUGAGGUGUUACACUUGAAUCCAAUUACAGUCUCAGAAGACCUUAUUAACUUGAGAUAUUAACAUUGCACCCUAGAGAUUGAACAUAUGCACAUUGUAACACCAGGGUGUUAAAGUAACAACCAAAGGUGUUGUAUUAGGAUAACACCUCAUGAUGUUUAAUAUAACACCAAAACUUCAACACUGGUUUAAAAUGACUAGUGUGCAUGUCUUCCUGUAUAUCACCAGUGUUUGUUGCGUAUCUUUCAUAUAUGUUGUUCAAUUUUAACAUUACAUGUAUAUGUUACAGUGAUUGCCCACAAUAUGAAGAAUUUUCUUGUUUUAAAGUUUCGUGCUAAAGUGUUUAUACUUCCCAUCACAAUUUGUCUAUUCUCUUAAAUUCUUUGUCACCGACAGUACUUUUAUAGAUUAUCUUUCCAGAAAGGUAGUUGAGUUUGACGUCAUAAUGAUUCCUCAAACAGUUUUUCUUAUAAUUGGGUGUUUCGUUGUGGAAACUGAAUGGAUAUGUAUACAGUAUACAUGUACAUGUAGCUGCUUGUAUUCGCCUUACUAACAUUUUGUUGUAAUUUGUUGUAACAACUAUUUGUUAAAUAAAACCUGAAUACUUCUUAA